rnacentral:Y_RNA from 1 species
GGUUGGUACAAUAGUGGGUUAUUAGAAUUUCAUAACAUCAGUGUCACUAAAGUUAGUAUAUAGCCCCCCCACUGCUAAAUUUUGCUAGCUUUUA